GCCGGACCCCACUGCUAUCGAGAUGGGACUAAGGUAUGCUAGUCGAACGACCAGAACUAUGUCUGGGAGUGGCACACUGCUCAGUAACACGUAGCUAACCUACCCUUAGGACGUGGAUACCCCCGAGAAAUUGGGGUUAAUCCGCGAUAGAUGUAAUGUCCUGGAAUGGUAUUACGUCUAAAGGUAUUUCAUACAUGUUUGAAAUAUGCCUAAGGAUGGGGCUGCGGCCGAUCAGGCUGUUGGUGAGGUAAUGGCUCACCAAACCUUUGACCGGUACGGGCCAUGAGAGUGGUAGCCCGGAGAUGGACACUGAGACAAGGGUCCAGGCCCUAAGGGGCGCAGCAACCGCGAAACCUCCACAAUGCACUCACGUGCGAUGGGGCUAUCUCGAGUGCCACCUGAUGAAGGUGGCUUUUCCUUGGUCUUCAAAGCCUUGGGAAUAAGAGGGGGGCAAGACUGGUGUCAGCCGCCGCGGUAACACCAGCCCCUCGAGUGGUGGGGAUGAUUAUUUGGCCUAAAGCGUCCGUAGCCGGCCGUGAAAGUCUUCCGUUAAAUCCAGCGUCUCAAGCGUUGGACCGCGGGAGAUAUUACAUGGCUAGAGAGUGGGAGAGGUCAGCGGUAUUCUGGGGGUAGGGGCGAAAUCCUUUGAUCCCCGGAGGACCACCAGUGGCGAAGGCUGCUGACUAGAACACGUCUGACGGUCAGGGACGAAAGCUGGGGUAGCGAACCGGAUUAGAUACCCGGGUAGUCCCAGCCGUAAACGAUGCAUGCUAGGUGUUGGGUUGGCCACGAGCCACCCCAGUGCCGCAGGGAAGCCGUUAAGCAUGCCGCCUGGGAAGUACGAUCGCAAGAUUGAAACUUAAAGGAAUUGGC
rnacentral:rRNA from 1 species